GGACUCGUGCCCGAAACUUAGGGACCACUUUGAUAGAGUGAACCAUGGGGGUUAAAGUCCCCCCGAUUCCU
rnacentral:tRNA from 1 species